AGUGCAGGAUGAUGCUUCCAUUUCAUGCAGGAAAAGAAAGAAGCAUUUUUUUGUUCUGAGUCAUUCUGGCAAACCAAUAUACUCUAGGUAUGGAGAUGAACAUAAGCUUGCUGGUUUUUCAGCAACUUUGCAAGCAAUCAUUUCGUUUGUUGAAAAUGGGGGUGACCGUGUCAAAUUGGUGAGGGAUGGAAAGCAUCAG